rnacentral:lncRNA from 1 species
CUUGUGAAAUCUGAAGUAAACGGCCGUUUACUACUGACUAAACGGACACAGAGUAAACGCGCGUUUACUCGAGUAGACAUUAGAAAUUUCCACUUUGACCGCGUUAACGUUAAUGAAGUAAACGGGCGUUUACUAGUAAACGCGAAAUUUAAAGUUAACUAACGAAAUAUGUGCACGCCGCGUUAACUUGCGUUUACUUUAUGUAAUGCUUGGUCUGCACCCAACUGUAUGCAGAUACCGGUCUGAGAUAUAAAUUCACUUAAAAUGUUGUAGAGAUGACUGCUAACAUCUGAUUUUUGCAUAACUUCCAAGCAUAGUUAUUGUUUUCUAUAUCAAGAACUUUAAAAUCAUAAAAUCAUAGCAUUUACAAGUUAAAUUAUUUGUUUUAUGACCCAGGGGGUAGGCAAUUUUCUAUUUUUUUUUUUUGCCCCUGGGGCCUCAAAUUUCCUAAAUCAUUCUUCUGUUUCUAGCAAUUUGGAAUAUUUAGUACAUAUUCAGGAUAGAACACACUAUUGUAAGUUGUCUUGAGAUAUUUUUGUUUUUCUAGGUUGUAUUAUUUUUGCCGUGGUGACAAAAAAGCAGAUUUAGGUGUUGCGGCUUACUUUUG